GGGGAAGUGGGAUGGGGACCUUGGCCACCCCAUCCCCCAGCAUCAGUUGGCCUCUCAAUAAAAGAAGCCAAUCCUCGCUGGGAAAACACAGGUAGGUGCACGGACAGCAACAUCACAGGCUUCAACAUGAGGACGGCCAUCCUUCUUCUGACUGCCUUGGUCUCAGCUGUGCUGAGUGUUGAGCAAUCUUCUGAAGAUCUGGACUUAUUCAGUGCAGAGCCGAGAGCUGAGCACUCUUCUGAAUCUCCUGAAGAUCAGGACUUAUUCGGCGCAGGUGCAAUGGUGCAAUCAGUUGAGCAAUCUUCUGAAUCUACUGAAUCUUCUGAAGAUCAGGACUUAUUCAGUGCACGU